AAUAUUGCACAAUGGGGGAAACCCUGAUGCAGCGACGCCGCGUGAGUGAAGAAGUAUUNCGGUAUNUNAAGCUCUAUCAGCAGGGNAGAAAAUGACGGUACCUGACUAAGACGCCCCGGCUAACUACGUGCCAGCAGCCGCGGUAAUACGUAGGGGGCAAGCGUUAUCCGGAUUUACUGGGUGUAAAGGGAGCGUAGGUGGCAAAUCAAGUCAGUUGUCAUAGCCCGGGGCUCAAGCCCGGGAUUGCAUUUGAAACUGGUAUGCUAGAGUGCAGGAGAGGUAAGUGGAAUUCCUAGUGUAGCGGUGAAAUGCGUAGAUAUUAGGAGGAACACCAGUGGCGAAGGCGGCUUACUGGGCUGUAACUGACACUGAGGCUCGAAAGCGUGGGGAGCAAACAGG
rnacentral:rRNA from 1 species